AUGAUCCCGAACCAAAACUGGACUUCCGCCAUUUCCCCCCUCUCACUCUCCGUGAACAGACCAACACGGCAGCGCCCAAGUCCUUCCAUAGAAAUAGUUCAGUUCUUAGGUGUUCUAACAACACCAAAGUCUAUUCACUUUAACAAGGGAUCAACAAGUGAGAAUUUGUGGGUCACUUUUAUUUUUAACGGACCGGUGCCAGAAACACUGCCUCAGCAUUUCAUACGUAUGUGCAUUUCAAACGAGGGUGCAUACAAUGCUGGAUUUGUUUCACGGCUCCUGUUGGAAAAAAAGGACAUAUUCCUAAAGUCCGUCAUCCACUCACUGAAGGAGCCACAUCCCAGUUACCUACAUGCAAGGAGGCUGUCAAACAGAGAAAUCACUGCAGACUGUUGGUACACGGACAUCUGCUGCCCAGCUCAGGAGUGAAGUACCUUUUGUUUUGAUGAGGUGAUGGUGAGGACAGCCACAGUUUCCAUCUGGUAGAGGACUGCUUCCGCUCAGUCUUCCAAAUAGUGAUGAGAACAAGGAUCACCACAUCUCCCUGUUUACCCUACUUUCAUGCAUUUCGUCUGCAAGGCCCUGCAAAAGCUUCUGGCCUCAAACCCCCAGACUUCUUAAUUAACUCAGUAACCUAUACAUUGCACAUUGGAGUGUGAAGGUAACAGUUUGUUCUAGCUUUGGAGUAGUGGUGUAUUUUUUUGGUUUACAAUAAAGUUGGCUUUAACUAUUAUGUAUUUCA
rnacentral:lncRNA from 1 species